GAUGAACGCUGGCGGCGUGCCUAAUACAUGCAAGUCGAGCGAACGGACGAGAAGCUUGCUUCUCUGAUGUUAGCGGCGGACGGGUGAGUAACACGUGGAUAACCUACCUAUAAGACUGGGAUAACUUCGGGAAACCGGAGCUAAUACCGGAUAAUAUUUUGAACCGCAUGGUUCCAAAGUGAAAGACGGUCUUGCUGUCACUUAUAGAUGGAUCCGCGCUGCAUUAGCUAGUUGGUAAGGUAACGGCUUACCAAGGCAACGAUGCAUAGCCGACCUGAGAGGGUGAUCGGCCACACUGGAACUGAGACACGGUCCAGACUCCUACGGGAGGCAGCAGUAGGGAAUCUUCCGCAAAGGGCGAAAGCCUGACGGAGCAACGCCGCGUGAGUGAUGAAGGUCUUCGGAUCGUAAAACUCUGUUAUUAGGGAAGAACAUAUGUGUAAGUAACUGUGCACAUCUUGACGGUACCUAAUCAGAAAGCCACGGCUAACUACGUG
rnacentral:rRNA from 1 species